rnacentral:lncRNA from 1 species
GAAGGCUGCAAGCUUUGCCUUCUCCUCUUGGCUUAGGCACGAGUCGAUUGGCGCUUUUCUCUCUGGCUUGUCAAGAUCAAGGGGUACUAGCUCGACAUCCUCUUCGAGCUUCCAUCCUUCUUCAAGAAAGACCUCCGGACAGAUGGUCCUGAUUCUUUGAUUGUUAUUGGGGAGCAGCUAUCCCUUUCCCUUUCUUGUCUGC